rnacentral:rRNA from 1 species
UACGUAGGGUGCAAGCGUUAAUCGGAAUUACUGGGCGUAAGCGUGCGCAGGCGGUGAUGUAAGACAGAUGUGAAAUCCCCGGGCUCAACCUGGGAACUGCAUUUGUGACUGCAUCGCUAGAGUACGGCAGAGGGGGAUGGAAUUCCGCGUGUAGCAGUGAAAUGCGUAGAUAUGCGGAGGAACACCGAUGGCGAAGGCAAUCCCCUGGGCCUGUACUGACGCUCAUGCACGAAAGCGUGGGGAGCAAACAGG